CUUCCAGCUCGCAACUGCUGCAGAGGAAAAAGAAAGAAGAAGGAUUCAGCGACGAUCUUUGAGGGACGCUGCAAACCCCUUUGAUAUGCCGGACGAAGAGUUCCGUCAUAUAUACAGAGUACGAAAGGAGUUAGUGUUAUAUAUUUGUGAAGAACUCAACGCCGACCUCCAGCCUCACAAGGGUGAUGGAUUGCCAUCUCACCUUAAGACUUAAAGACCAAUGGAUAAUAGUUUUUCCUGGAACUGAUCGGUCCCGACGAUCAGUUGCCUCAGGAUUUGAGGAUGCAUAUGGUCUGCCAAAUAUCUUGGGUGUAGUAGACUGCACUCAAGUGAAAAUAUUUCCCACCUGUGCCACACGGAGUGCAAUAUCUGAAUCGGAAAGGCGUUCACGCUCUUAAUGUACAGCUAGUAAGUUUCAAUUUUAGUUACAAAUAAUGAUUUUUUUAUAUUAAUCAUAAAAUCCUCAUCACUGACCACAAUGUAUGUAUAUUAUAAUUAAAUAAAGAAAUAUAAAUACUAUGGGACAAUCUAACACAAAUCGACUAAGAUAAUGAUGUACCUAAUCUAGAUUGAUUAUAAUAAUUCAUUAAAAUAAUAACUUAUAUGUUACUACUUGGUUGUCACCAAUUCUCAAAUAAGAAUAUAAAUAACCUUAUAUCUUCAGAUUGCAGAUGUCAACUGUAAGAUCUUGGCAGUAAACACGAGGUUUCCUGGCCGUGUGCACGACUCUUUCAUAUUUAACAAUUCGUCCAUUUAGGAUGAAUUAAGAAGAUUGUACAAUGGCCACAUUGGGGAGUAUUUCCUUCUGGGUAAGCAGAAAAUUGUGUAUCUGUACCUAGUGUAAAUUUAUUCGAUGGGGAGACGUGACGUACGCGUUUGCGUUAACUGUCAUUUUGUAUGGAAUUUUGAGUUUCCAAAACAUCCCGCUUGGCGCGCUGUUUCUAAAUCCCUUAGCACCACUUGCACCAUUUCACUAACUCGGGGUUAACUGGUUAACCCUGGAGUUACCAUGUUACCAGUACAAUUUCACAUUGGGUUAACGGUUUAACCGGUUAACCCCGGGUUAUUGGAAUGGGGCAAGUGCAUGUUAGUAAAUGUACUAAGAUCACGACCACAGAAUAAAUAGUUCAUGACUAAGUUAAUAUACCUAUCAUAAUGUAAAUAACCGGCCAAGAGCAUGUCGGGCCACGCUCAGUGUAGGGUUCCGUAGUUACUCUUCCGUCACAAUAAGCUAAACUGGAGCUUAAAGUGUAGUAAAUGGUACCUUUCACCCGAGUUAAACAAAUAGGCAAAUUUGCAUAAUCAGUACCUAAUUAAAGAAGUCUUUUUACUAUGAAGGGAAAACUUUUUGCGAUAACUCAAAAACAGCUAAACUGAUCAUGUCCGCUAUAGUUUUCAUUUAAUGUCUUUCUUAAGCUCUACUUCCACGAUUUUUUUCAUAUUUUUUGGACCUAUGGUUCAAAAGUUAGAGGGGGGGGGGGACACAUUUAUUUUUUCUUUCGGAGCGAUUAUCUCCGAAUAUAUUCACUUUAUCAAAAAAUGUUUCUUGAAAACCCCUAUUAGUUUUGAAAGACCUUUCCAACGAUACCCCACACUUUAGGGUUGAAGCGAAAAAAAAAAUUCACCCCCACUUUACGUGUAGGGGAGGUACCCUAAAAAAAUUAAAAUUUUAGAUUUUAUUGUACGACUUUGUCGGCUUUAUUGAUUUAUAUAUCCAUGCCAAAUUUCAGCUUUCUAACACUAACGACCACGGAGCAAAGCCUCGGACAGACAGACAGACAGACAGACAGACAGACAGACAGACAGACAGACAGACAGACAGACAGACAGACGGACAUGGCGAAACUAUAAGGGUUCCGUUUUAUGCCAUUUGGCUACGGAACCCUAAAAAGGCAUAAGCAAGGGGGAAGUUUCGUUAGUUGUUCAGAUGAUUAAGUAUUAUGUAACCAAAAAAUAAUAAUUUCAGGUGACUCGGGGUAUGCUCUUGAGCCAUGGCUCAUGACGCCAGUGCUGAAUCCUGCCCCGGGAAGCCCAGAAGCAAGGUAGGUACACGGUCUGGCACUGUCGCGUGCGCAACACGAUCAAGCGUACCAAUGGGUACCUCAAAAACGUAUUCCGGUGCCUGGGCCACGACCGCGUCUUACACUACAGCCCGACGAAGGCAUCGUCAAUAAUAAAUGCAUGUUGCGUAGUAUACAACAUAAUGCAACAUUAUAGAAAUGUUCCCGAGGAAAUCGUAGGAGAUAUUGAUGAAGACGCUCCUCAAGAACUUCCUCAUCGUCAUGCGCAAAACGGACUACUAUUAAGAGUGGCGCAGGAAAAGCGUGCGCGUCUAAUAAAUACAUAUUUUGCUUA